GGCCUACACCACAGCUCACAGCAACGCCAGAUCCUUGACCCAUUGAGCAAGGCCAGGAAUCGAACUCUCAACCUCAUGGUUCCUAGUCAGAUUCAUAUCCACUGCGGCCCGACAGGAACUCCUUUGUAGCUUGUCUUGUACAUAAUAGUUUGCACCUCUUAAUCCCCUUCUCUAUCUUGCCUCACCCCCUUCCCUCUUCUCACUGGUAACUACCACUUUGUUUUCUAUAUCUGUGAGUCUGUUUACUUUUUACGCUUACAAGUUUGUUGUAUUUUUUAUAUUCCACAUAUAAGUGAUAUCAUACAGUAUUUGCAUUUCUCUGACUUAUUUCACUUAGCAUAAUACCCUCCAGGUCCAUCCAUGUUGUUGGAAAUGGCAACAUUUCAUUCUUUUUCAUGGCUGAGUAGUAUUCUAUUGUAUAUAUACCACAUCUUUACCCAUUCAUCUGUUGAUGGACUUUGGGUCGCUCCAUAUCUUGGCAAUUGUAAAUAAUGCUGCUGUGAACAUUGAGGUGCAUGUAUUUUUUUCUCAAGUUUUUGUUUUAUUUGGAUAUACACCAAGGAGUAGAACUGCUUGGUCAUAUGGAAGUUCUACUUUAAGUUUUUUUGGAAAUCGCCAUACUGUUUUCCGCAGUGACUGCACCAAUUUACAUUCCUCCUAAGAGUGUACGAGGGUUCCCUUAUCUCCACUUCCUCACCAGUAUUUCCUGUUUGUGUGUGGGGUUUUUUUUUUUGGAGGGGGGGGUCUUUUGUCUUUUUAGGGCUAUACCCAUGACAUAUGGAUGUUCCCAGGGUAAGGGUCGAAUCAGAGCUGGAGCUGCCAGCCUACACCACAGCCACAGUUACGCCAGAUCUGAGCCACGUCUGCAACCUACACCAUGGCUCAUGGCAAUGCUGGAUCCUUAACGCCCUGAGUGAGGCCAGGGAUCGAACCUGCAUCCUUAUGGACGCUAGUUGGGUUUGUUACCUGCCAAGCCAUGGCAGGAACUCCCCUAUCUGUGUUCUUUUUGAUGAUAGCCAUUCUGACAGGUGUGAGGUGGUGUCUCAUGAUUUUGAUUUGCCUAUCUCUGUUAGUGAUGUUGAGCAUCUUUUCAUGUGUCUAUUGGCUAUCUGCAUUUCCUCUUUGGAAAAAUGUUCGAUUCUGUCCACUUUUUAAUCAGGUCUUUUGGAGUUUUUUGAUGUUGAGUUGUAUGAACUGUUUAUAUAUGUUGGAUGUUAAUCUCUUAUCAGUCAUACCUUUUGCAAAUAUUUUCUUCCAUUCAGUAUGUUUUUGUUUUGUCGAUGGUGUCUUUGCUGUGACAUAAGUUUUAGUAUGUUGUAUUUUUAUUGUCAUUCAUCUUCAUAUAUCUGGCAGUUUCUCUUGUGAUUUCUUCUUUGACCCAUUGUUUAUUAGGAGUGUGUUAUUUAAUUUCCAUACAACUGGGAGUUUUCCAAAUGCCCUUCUGUUAAUGAUUUCUCUUUGCAUUCUUUUGUGGUCGAAGAACACAAUUUGUAUGAUUUCAGGCUUUUACAAUAUAUUGAGAUUUGUUUUACAUCCUAGCAUGUGGUCUGUAUUGGAGAAUGUUCCAUGUAUAAUCGAGUAGAAUGUGUUUCCUGUCUGGGGGGAAUGUGUUCUCUAGAUGUCUGGUAGAUCUAGUUGGCUUAUAGUGUUGUUCAAAUCUUACGUCUCCUCAUUGUUUUUCUCCCUGUUCUGUCUAUGAUUGAAAGGAUCAUAUUGAGAUCUUCGGCUGUUGUUGAAUUGUCUGUCCUUCCCUUCAGUCUUGUUGUGUUUUGCUUCAUAUAUUUUUGAGUUCUGUUGUUAGGUGCACAUAUGUUCAAGAUUUUAUAUCUUCUUUCUGGGUUUAUCCUUUCUUUAUUAUAAAAUGUCACUCUUCAUUCUGGUAAACAAUUUUUGUCUACAGACAGUUUCAUCUGCUAGUAGUAUAGCUCCUCCAGGAGCUCUCUUUUCAUUGCUGUGUGCAUAGCCAACCUUAUCCAUCCUUUUACAUUCAACCAAUUUCUGUUUUUGCCAGGGUUUUUUUUUUUUUUGGAGUAGCUCAUUAAUUAUUGAGUGAUUGCUGUGUAUAAAGCUAAACAUGUUUCAUCUCUGCCUUUCCUAUUAGUAGUUAAAUUUCAUUUCCCUCUACUGUUUCUAACUGUAGAAACGGCAUAGCCCCAUUUUUUGGCUUUUUAAUUUUUCUUUUAAUUUUGCUUAACAGCAUAGUCUUGAUGUUUAAGAAAAGAAUCUGUUAGAAGACUCCUGCAUGGCAUGCCAUGUAAUUGAUAUGAAAGAAGCCUAUAAUUUUAAAGGAAUAUGGUUGAGCUGAAAGGCCUAAUAUUACAGCAGCAACCACACUUAUAUAAACUAUUUUGUGGUAUUAUAACCACUUUCAGCUUAUAAGACAUUCCCGUACCCUACUGGGGACAUAACGUCAGUUCAUCCCCGGGCAAUAUUAUCUGUGAUUGUGGUGCCAGGUUGAGAGUGGUGGAAACCAAAGCUGAGAACUUUCAGGGGUUAUGCUCAAGCUCUGGACCUCCUUGACUCACACGGCCAUCUCUGGCAGAUCUGCACUCAAGCCCCAAACUGCCAGGUCAAAUGUGGGGUCGCGUCUCCCUCCCUACCCAUUCUCUAAAGAAAAGGGAGCAGAACACAUCUGAUCUAAACCUGCUUACAUCUCUUCAUCAUCCUCAGAGUGACUCUUCGGAGGCCUCAAGGACCGAGACGGGGUGCUGUCCUCAUGCUGUGACUUCCCUGAGCCGUGCAGUGGCUCCUGUAUUUUGUUCCUAAAUGCGCUCCCCUUGCUGUCCCCCUCCCCUGUUUUAGAGAGAUGGGACCGCGUCACCACGACAACCAAGAGACCCGGAGUGACCAGGGCUCCAGCAAAGCCUGCAGGCAGUGAUUUUGACUUGGCUGAUGCCUUGGAUGGAAACGAUCAAGACGAUGGCCGCAGGAAACCGAGUCCAGGAGGAGGAGGUUUUUCGGACAAGGAUCUUGAAGACAUCUUAGGGGGCGGCGAAUACAGACCUGACAAGGGUAAAGGUGAUGCCGGGUAUGGCAGCAACGGUGACUCGGAAUCCGGAAUGUCGGCAGAGACCGGCACCAUCGCCGGCGUGGCCAGCGCUCUGGCCAUGGCUCUCAUCGGCGCCGUGUCCAGCUACAUCUCCUACCAGCAGAAGAAGUUCUGCUUCAGCAUUCAGCGUAAGUGGCUCUGCCCCGCGGCCCCUUGCGGCUGUGCCCUCCCGUUCCUGUCCGUGACCCCCUGGGGACAGACGCAGGCCAGACGGAAGCGUGAACCAGCCCGGAAGGGAGGAUUGGGCUGGACUCAAUGACGUUGAUCUUCCGAGGGGUUCAGCUCCCGGAAGCCCAAGUGACCCCUGGGUUUCUCCCUGAAUUUCCCCGAGGCUCGGGGUCGCACCCCAGGGGCCGGGGGCCCUUGGAGGCAGAAGGCAGUGUCGCCGGGGUCUCAGAGCCCGCAGUGGCACCGUGGGGCAAGCCAGCGCCCACCAUCCCCUCCGGUCCCAGGAGGAUCAGGCAGCGUAUGGAGUCGAGAAUGGUUUUAAAGGAGCCGGGAUGCAGGGGGAAGACGCGCCUGUGGUCCCCACCUGUCCACGGCAGCUUGGUGACACAGGGCUGCUUCGGCUGUAGCUGCGGGGCUCUCUGUGGCGCAUAGACGGAAUAGUUACUUAUGUGGGAUGUCUCCCAGGAGCCUGUGUUGGGGGAGCCCGUGGGGGACCCUGUCGAGAGUGAACGAGACCACGCUCGGUGGCUUUAUAAGCACAGCGCAGAUGUGUCGCUGUUUGAUGAGCCUCGCUGAAGACGGGCGAUUGUUAGUUCAAGUGGGAGAAGUCGUCCCCUGUGAGCCCCCCCACCCCCGCCCCGGCCUUGCUCUGGGCCUGGAGUGGAGCUUCUCGGAAGACAGACUUGGGUCCCAGAAUGCUUUGCGUGUGUGUGUAGAGCUGGUUUUUUCAUCUGGCCUCAUGUUUGCUGCCUUGAUUCUUGUACUGUGUUCAUGACCGGGGCCGCCGCAGAGAGCGCCGCAGGCUCCAGAGACACCGUUCACAUCUCAGUGCACAGCCUGCACAUCUGCUCCAGUGGCCCUGCUGGGGGGUCCUGUCCCGCCCGCCACAGUGGAUCCAGAAGCUUGGCUUGUGGCGUCGGGUGAGAGGAGGAGUCCCAGGGAGCGCAGAGCUGGAGGCCGCGUUGGCCUUAGGCCUUUGCUCAAAAGCAAAGAAACUGAGUGGCUCAAAACCUAUUUAUUCUCUUCCAGUUGUGGAGGCCAGAAGUCCAAGGUCAGGGGGUCAGCGGGGCGGGUCCCCCUCUGGGGGAGGGUGCUUCCCUCUUCCUCCAGCUUGCUGCUGCCUCUGUCUGCAGGUGGCUUCUCCUCUGUCAUCUUCUGUCUCUUAAAAGGGCACUUGUCAUUGGAUGUCAGACCCACCCUAAAUCCAGGCUGAUCUUAUCUCAAGAUCCUUCAGUUCAUUAGCUCUGCAAAGACCGUUUUCCCAAAUAACGCCACGUCCACAGGUUCCAGGGACGAGAGCGUGGCCUUAUCCCUCAGGCGCCACCAUUCACCCCGGUUCAGCAUCAUAUCCCAGCAGUGAGAUGGGACUUUAGAAUGCACGUUGGGUACAAGAGACUAAAGGCUGGGCCUAAAGUUAGAGUAAGAAUGGCUUCCUGGGCACUGCACGCUGCCCCUGCCUGCCCUGGCCCGACAGGGCAGCUGCCACGGCGCCCUCCUUCAUGCCGCGGGGACGAGCCUGAGGGGGCUGUUGAAGGAACUCGCUCCAGAUGGGAAGCAAUGGAUCCGGGCUGGAAGGCAAAGCGGGGAACUAGGAGGGGCGGGAAGAAAGGUUAAUUUCCAGAGAUGCAAACUGUUGCCUUUGGAGUGGCUAAGCGCUGAGAGCCGGCCGUGUAGCACAGGGAACUCGAUCUAGUCGCUUAGGAUGGAGCAUGAUCAUGUGAGGAAAAAGAAUGCGUACGUGGAUGUGGGACUGGGUCAGCUGGCCGUACAGUCGAAAGCUGACAGAACACCGUAAACCAGCUCUGAUGGAAAAAA
ensembl:lncRNA